GUUUUUAUAUGUACUUUUGCUUCUUAUAAUCUCCAUUUCUAUAUUUGUAUUUUGUGUAUGGUAAGCACUUCAAAUAUUCAAAAAUGAGGUAAUAUUAGUGAACUAAAUUUUUAUGUUCAAGUUGAUAUUGAAAAGACAUGGCUAACUAAAAGUAUGUUCUAUACAUUUUUUCCUAUAAUUCAUGAUACAUGUACUUAAAAUCUACUCGAGUCUAUUUACUUUUACUACUUUGGUGCUUUGCACACAUUUAAGAUCAAACUAUUUUGUUUGGUGUUUUAAAUUGCAUUUUGCAUCCAAAAUUGUAAUUUUUUUUAGAGUCUAAUGAUAUUAUGAUCCCAAUUAUGACCUUAUUGACAAUAUUUUCUUGCCAUUUUUCUAUAAUCAUGAUAAAAUUAGUGUUUUAAAUUGUGAUCAUUUGGUUAUUGAUAUUGUGAUUAUUGCGAUUUGGAUUGUCGCGGUUACAGAAUUAUUUUCUGAUUAAAAUAAUUUUUAAAUCCAUUGUGUCUUCUUGCGUUCCAAUACAGCCCGAUGCGAUUAUGGUUUGAUGUAACUGCAUUAAUGUGAUUUGGAAUUAUAUUAUAAUUACGGUGUGAUGUGGUUAGGACAGUCAUGACAACCUAAUAUUAUUAAUUGAUGUGAUCCAACAAUUUAAAUCACAACCAAUCUCCCACAAACUUAGUUUAUAAAGUACUUCUAAUUGAUUUCAAUGUACUUCGGUUCAUGUAGUUCAAUUAGAGUUACGUUAAGGUUUGUAGUUUAUUGAAGCACUUUUCUUCAUAAAUAAGUCACAUAAGGGUUUGAUGAAGAUAAUAUUGUUGCUUAUUAAUUAAUAUUAUCUAUUGUUCUUUCAAGUUCCAAGUACUAAUUGAGGUAUGACUUAAAAGACAAGCUCGAGCCCACACUCAGCGACCGUUUGGUCUUCGCAACAAGUUCCUAGAUGGCUAGGUGUACAUGUCUCCUAUAGUGACCCUGCAAUAUUACCAAUAUACCCUUUUUCAUAUGUUGUUUUAUUUCCCAUUAGUUCUAUACUUGUAUUGUUCAAAUCAAGCAUUUAUAUUAUUUACCAUAAAGUGUAUUGUCAUGUUCAUGUAUAACUAAAGAAAUAGUGUAUUUUCAUGUUCAUGUAUAGCAAAAAACAUAGUGUAUAGUCUUAUCUAUGUAGUAUGUGUAUAAAUAAAAGAAAUAGUACAUUUUAA